AGGACGAACGCUGGCGGCGUGCUUAACACAUGCAAGUCGAACGGGGUCCAGCCAGUCGCAAGACUGGUGAAGACUUAGUGGCGAACGGGUGCGUAACACGUGAGAAACCUGCCCCGGUCUCCGGAACAACAAGUGGAAACACUUGCUAAUACUGGAUGCCGUCGGACCGCCGCAUGGCGAACUGACGAAAGGGUUACCGGAUCGGGAGGGUCUCGCGGCCUAUCAGCUUGUUGGUGAGGUAACGGCUCACCAAGGCAUCGACGGGUAGCUGGUCUGAGAGGAUGAUCAGCCACACUGGGACUGAGACACGGCCCAGACUCCUACGGGAGGCAGCAGUGGGGAAUCUUGCCCAAUGGGCGAAAGCCUGAGGCAGCAACGCCGCGUGCGGGAAGAAGGCCUUAGGGUGUAAACCGCUUUCAGCAGGGAAGAAAUGACGGUACCUGAAGAAGAAGGUGCGGCCAACUACGUGCCAGCAGCCGC
rnacentral:rRNA from 1 species